GACGAACGCUGGCGGCGUGCUUAACACAUGCAAGUCGAACGGUGAAAGCGGAGCUUGCUCCGCUGGAUCAGUGGCGAACGGGUGAGUAACACGUGGGCAACCUGCCCCUCACUUCGGGAUAACUCCGGGAAACCGGGGCUAAUACCGGAUAUGACCUCCUUGGGCAUCCUUGGAGGUGGAAAGUUUUUCGGUGAGGGAUGGGCCCGCGGCCUAUCAGCUUGUCGGUGGGGUAGUGGCUCACCAAGGCGACGACGGGUAGCCGGCCUGAGAGGGCGACCGGCCACACUGGGACUGAGACACGGCCCAGAGUCCUACGGGAGGCAGCAGUGGGGAAUAUUGCGCAAUGGGCGAAAGCCUGACGCAGCAACGCCGCGUGCGGGAUGACGGCCUUCGGGUUGUAAACCGCUUUCAGCAGGGAAGAAGCCGCAAGGUGACGGUACCUGCAGAAGAAGCACCGGCUAACUACGUGCCAGCCGCCGCAGUAA
rnacentral:rRNA from 1 species